rnacentral:lncRNA from 1 species
UGGAUUUCAAUCAAGACAAAAACAUCUCUUUUUUAAAAUUGUGCCCGGUCAAUAUUUUGUCCCAGCAAGAAGUGGCCAAGACACUCAGCCACGUGCAUGGUCCUGUGCAAUUCAUUUCCAUCUAUCUUAAAACACUUGCAGUUUGAUUCAGAUCUUGAAAAACUUCUAAAAGUGAGAUACAAAGAUGCAAAAAUGUCUAAGGUUAAAAGGAAGACCGAGAUUCUGCAUACAGCA